rnacentral:rRNA from 1 species
CCUUGACAUCCAGCGAACUUGGCAGAGAUGCCUUGGUGCCUUCGGAACGCUGAGACAGGUGCUGCAUGGCUGUCGUCAGCUCGUGUUGUGAAAUGUUGGGUUAAGUCCGCAACGAGCGCAACCCUUAUCCUUUGUUGCCAGCGAUUCGGUCGGGAACUCAAAGGAGACUGCCGGUGAUAAACCGGAGGAAGGUGGGGAUGACGUCAAGUCAUCAUGGCCCUUACGAGUAGGGCUACACACGUGCUACAAUGGCGCAUACAAAGAGAAGCGACCUCGCGAGAGCAAGCGGACCUCAUAAAGUGCGUCGUAGUCCGGAUCGGAGUCUGCAACUCGACUCCGUGAAGUCGGAAUCGCUAGUAAUCGUGGAUCAGAAUGCCACGGUGAAUACGUUCCCGGGCCUUGUACACACCGCCCGUCACACCAUGGGAGUGGGUUGCAAAAGAAGUAGGUAGCUUAACCUUCGGGAGGGCGCUUACCACUUUGUGAUUCAUGACUGGGGUGAAGUCGUAACAAGGUAGGCGUAGACGU